rnacentral:tRNA from 1 species
GGAGAGGUGCCCGGAGUGGUUUAUCGGGGACCGUACUCACGGUCGGGCUCUUGAGUCCGCGCAGGUUCGAAUCCUGCCCUCUCCG